rnacentral:rRNA from 1 species
ACUGUAAGAAUAAGGAUCGGCUAACUCCGUGCCAGCAGCCGCGGUAAUACGUAGGGCGCAAGCGUUGUCCGGAAUUAUUGGGCGUAAAGAGCUCGUAGGCGGUUUGUCGCGUCUGGUGUGAAAACUCAAGGCUCAACCUUGAGCUUGCAUCGGGUACGGGCAGACUAGAGUGUGGUAGGGGUGACUGGAAUUCCUGGUGUAGCGGUGGAAUGCGCAGAUAUCAGGAGGAACACCGAUGGCGAAGGCAGGUCACUGGGCCACUACUGACGCUGAGGAGCGAAAGCAUGGGGAGCGAACAGGAUUAGAUACCCUGGUAGUCCAUUUUUUGAGGCAGCAGUGAGGAAUAUUGGACAAUGGGCGCAAGCCUGAUCCAGCCAUGCCGCGUGCAGGAUGACGGUCCUAUGGAUUGUAAACUGCUUUUGUACAGGAAGAAACACUGGUUCGUGAACCAGCUUGACGGUACUGUAAGAAUAAGGAUCGGCUAACUCCGGGCCAGCAGCCGCGGUAAUACGGAGGAUCCAAGCGUUAUCCGGAAUCAUUGGGUUUAAAGGGUCCGUAGGCGGUUUGGUAAGUCAGUGGUGAAAGCCCAUCGCUCAACGGUGGAACGGCCAUUGAUACUGCUAGACUUGAAUUAUUAGGAAGUAACUAGAAUAUGUAGUGUAGCGGUGAAAUGCUUAGAGAUUACAUGGAAUACCAAUUGCGAAGGCAGGUUACUACUAAUAUAUUGACGCUGAUGGACGAAAGCGUGGGUAGCGAACAGGAUUAGAUACCCUGGUAGUCCACGCCGUAAACGAUGGAUACUAGCUGUUGGAAGCAAUUUCAGUGGCUAAGCGAAAGUGAUAAGUAUCCCACCUGGGGAGUACGUUCGCAAGAAUGAAACUCAAAGGAAUUGACGGGGGCCCGCACAAGCGGUGGAGCAUGUGGUUUAAUUCGAUGAUACGCGAGGAACCUUACCAAGGCUUAAAUGUAGAUUGACCGGUUUGGAAACAGACUUUUCGCAAGACAAUUUACAAGGUGCUGCAUGGUUGUCGUCAGCUCGUGCCGUGAGGUGUCAGGUUAAGUCCUAUAACGAGCGCAACCCCUGUUGUUAGUUGCCAGCGAGUCAUGUCGGGAACUCUAACAAGACUGCCAGUGCAAACUGUGAGGAAGGUGGGGAUGACGUCAAAUCAUCACGGCCCUUACGCCUUGGGCUACACACGUGCUACAAUGGCCGGUACAGAGAGCAGCCACUGGGCGACCAGGAGCGAAUCUACAAAACCGGUCACAGUUCGGAUCGGAGUCUGCAACUCGACUCCGUGAAGCUGGAAUCGCUAGUAAUCGGAUAUCAGCCAUGAUCCGGUGAAUACGUUCCCGGGCCUUGUACACACCGCCCGUCAAGCCAUGGAAGCUGGGGGUGCCUGAAGUCGGUGACCGCAAGGAGCUGCCUAGGGUAAAACUGGUAACUAGGGCUAAGUCGUAACAAGGUAGCCGUACCGGAAGGUGCGGCUG